GUGCCAGCCGCCGCGGUAAAACGUAGGAGGCGAGCGUUAUCCGGAUUUACUGGGCGUAAAGCGCACGCAGGCGGCUUCGUUAGUCGGACGUGAAAGCUCCUGGCUUAACUGGGAGAGGCCGUUCGAUACUGCGAGGCUUGAGGUUGGGAGAGGGGUGUGGAAUUCCCGGUGUAGUGGUGGAAUGCGCAGAUAUCGGGAGGAACACCUGUGGCGAAAGCGGCACCCUGGCCCACACCUGACGCUGAGGUGCGAAAGCGUGGGUAGCAAACAGGAUUAGAAACCCCAGUAGUCC
rnacentral:rRNA from 1 species